rnacentral:tRNA from 1 species
GUGGUAGAGCUCAGUGGUAAAGUGCUUGUCUAGCAAGUGUGAAGCAUUGGGUUCAAUUCUCAGCACCACA